CAAUGUGAGGGCGAUCUGGCUGCAACAUCUAUCACCCACUUGAUCCCCAGAGUUGAUUCGGCUGCUCUGGCUGACCAGGCGAGUCCCCUUCCUCCCUCACUGGUCCAUGUUCAUCCUUCCCAAAGCUGUGUGCUCAGUGGAAGAGGAUGACCACCCCGAGAGGAGGAGGCGGACCAUUUCCUUGGUCAAGGGUGCACGAGCAGCUGCCCUCUCCUGCUAGAAUCUCCAAGCAAGCUCCCAAGACAUCUUGCCACCUGUCCUGAAAACCCUCCCAUUUCCUUCAGAUGUUCUUAUCCCAUCCUUCUCACCACAUUCCGAA
rfam:Heterocephalus glaber contig48486, whole genome shotgun sequence.